UUGGAAAUAAAAGUCGUAACAAGGUUUCCGUAGGUGAACCUGCGGAAGGAUCAUUAAAGAAAUUUAAUAAUUUUGAAAAUGGAUUUUUUUGUUUUGGCAAGAGCAUGAGAGCUUUUACUGGGCAAGAAGACAAGAGAUGGAGAGUCCAGCCGGGCCUGCGCUUAAGUGCGCGGUCUUGCUAGGCUUGUAAGUUUCUUUCUUGCUAUUCCAAACGGUGAGAGAUUUCUGUGCUUUUGUUAUAGGACAAUUAAAACCGUUUCAAUACAACACACUGUGGAGUUUUCAUAUCUUUGCAACUUUUUCUUUGGGCAUUCGAGCAAUCGGGGCCCAGAGGUAACAAACACAAACAAUUUUAUCUAUUCAUUAAAUUUUUGUCAAAAACAAGAAUUUUCGUAACUGGAAAUUUUAAAAUAUUAAAAACUUUCAACAACGGAUCUCUUGGUUCUCGCAUCGAUGAAGAACGCAGCGAAAUGCGAUACGUAAUGUGAAUUGCAGAAUUCCGUGAAUCAUCGAAUCUUUGAACGCACAUUGCGCCCCUUGGUAUUCCAGGGGGCAUGCCUGUUUGAGCGUCAUUUCCUUCUCAAACAUUCUGUUUGGUAGUGAGUGAUACUCUUUGGAGUUAACUUGAAAUUGCUGGCCUUUUCAUUGGAUGUUUUUUUUCCAAAGAGAGGUUUCUCUGCGUGCUUGAGGUAUAAUGCAAGUACGGUCGUUUUAGGUUUUACCAACUGCGGCUAAUCUUUUUUUAUACUGAGCGUAUUGGAACGUUAUCGAUAAGAAGAGAGCGUCUAGGCGAACAAUGUUCUUAAAGUUUGACCUCAAAUCAGGUAGGAGUACCCGCUGAACUUAAGCAUAUCUAUAACC
rnacentral:rRNA from 1 species